CUGUUAUAUACCUGGAUUCAACACUGCUUAUAUUUGAAUGUCACGGAAAUAAGUACCGGCUGUUACGUUGUAAGUACGAGGAUGUGAUGAAAAUCUGCAAUAACAACGCGUAUCAAACGGUGCGUCGAUACUCGAACGAAGCGUGAAAAUUACAUUGUUAUUUUAUUUCUUUUUGUUAGUAAAUAGCUUCUUUCCUCGUUCGUCAGCGAAUUUGGUAAGUUUUCCCCGGUCUAUUAACUAUUAAAACGACUCUACUGUUUUUACGUGUUUACACCUAUAUAAUGAUUGUGUACAUAAUCGCAUCCGCGACAAAAUCGCAAUCACCAGUAUUUUCAAUUUUGGUUAUGAUUUUGGAAGGCGAAACUAAUAACUUACAUUCCGAAAUAGGUUAAAUAAACAGCAUAUGUACUAUACUGCGAUGGCGGUAAU